GUUGAAGGCCAUGUUCUCAGCCUCAUACAAGAAAAAAGUUUAUAUUUUUCUUUCAUUGACAAAUUAUUGUAUUUUUACAGGUGAGGAAACAUGUGAGAAUAUUUGUCAUGUGAUGUUUUAAAAUUAAGUGUCCUUAACCUCAGACAUAACGUCCAAUAAAAUCUAAGUAUGAUGUAUACAAGCUGAAGCCCCGCCUAUCUUAAUUACCAUGCUUGAGCAAACACUGAUACAAACAAAGCAAGCAAGCCAAACAAAGAUUUGUCUUGCUAGCAUUAAUGUAAAAGCUGUAAGAA
rnacentral:lncRNA from 1 species